AUCAAAUACAAAGCUUUGGAUAGAUUAUUGGCUAUGUCUGGUUUUCUGAUCACUGACAAAGUGGAUUUUUAUUUUCUAAGGGCAAGAUUUGGUAAAGUAUGUAGACCAAUCAUAUAUUCUUCAUACUGUUUUAACAACCCAGUAACCCUGCCUUUUAAUGAAGUUUAUAUUUCAAGCUUUUCUACUAUUGUUUUUUCUUUCCUCUCUACGUUAAUCUGAGAUGUGGUAGAAAGUCCAUGAAGAUAAACAUUCAUACUAGGUCUUUAAAAUGUUCUUGUGCCAUUACAAAUGCAUUUAUGAUCUUCUCAAACCAGUCAUUGCCACAAUUAUUUUAACGGAACACUAGAGUGCUGAACUACAUGUUUCGGUGUCCAGCCCCCCACCCCACUCAGAAUUCCAUUAAAAAAGUAUUUACUUACCUUUUCACCAACGCUGUGGCUGGCCCUCUCUCCAUGGCUGAGGUCAUCAAUCUUGGAUCUCAUAGGAAAGCAUUUGGAGGCUAUUGCAUGCGUGGCAAAACGCUGUGCUGUGUUGAUCAGCAUCACCUCACAAAGAUGCAUUAAAUCAAUGUAUCUCUAUGGGGUGGGUUCAGCUUCUCCAUGCAGAGCGUGGAGACGCUGAACAUAGGACCUGCAUAGAUUGCAGGACCUAGCCAGGAAGUUCCUCUAGUAGUUGUCUGAGUGACAGUCAUU